AUGGCUGAGAGCUAGCAAGGAAAAUUCAGGACCAUGAUGGCUCAGUUUCCCGCAGCUAUGAAUGGACGGCCAAACAUGUGGGCUAUUACCUCUGAAGAAUGUACCAAGCAUGACAAGCAGUUUGAUAAACUCAAACCAUCAGGAGGUUACAUAACAGGUGACCAAGCACGUACUUUUUUCUUACAAUCAGGUCUGCCGGCUCCUGUUUUAGCUGAAAUAUGGGCUUUGUCAGACUUGAACACGGAUGGGAAGAUGGAUCGGCAGGAGUUCUCGAUAGCUAUGAAAGUUAUCAAACUAAAGCUCCAAGGCCAACAGUUGCCUGGAGUUCUUCCUCCUGUUAUGAAACAACCUCCUAUGUUCUCUCCAUUAAUUUCUGCUCGGUUUGGAAUGGGGAGCAUGCCCAAUCUGUCGAUUCCUCAGUCAUUGCUUCCAGUUGCACCUAUGGCAACACCCUUGUCCUCUUCAACUUCGGGGACCAGCCUUCCUCCGUUAAUGAUGCCCACUCCCCUAGUGCCUUCUGUUAGCACAUCAUCAUUACCAAAUGGAACCACCAGUCUCAUUCAGCCUUUAUCCAUUCCUUAUUCUUCUUCAACAUUGCCUCAUACAUCAUGUUACAGUCUGAUGAUGGGAGGAUUUGGAGGUGCUAGUAUACAGAAGGCCCAGUCACUGAUUGAUUUACCAUCUAGUAGCUCAACUUCCUCAACUGCUUCACUCUCAGGGAACUCACCCAAGACUGGGACCUCCAAGCAGGCAGUUCCUCAGCCUUCAAGAUUAAAAUAUCUGCAAAAAAUUUAAUAGUCUUAACAAAAGCAUGAGUGGAUACCUCUCAGGUUUUCAAUCUAGAAAUGCCCUUCUUCAGUCAAAUCUUUCUCAAACUCAGCUGGCUCCUAUUUGGACUCUGGCUGACAUUGAUGGCGACGGACAGCUAAAAGCAGAAGAGUUUAUCCUUGCAAUGCACCUCACUGAUGUGGCCAAAGCUGGACAGCCAUUACCACUGACUUUAUCACCUGAAUUUGUCCCUCCUUCUUUCAGAGGUAGAAAGCAAAUCGAUUCUGUUAAUGGAACUCUGCCUUCAUAUCAGAAAAUGCAAGAAGAGGAACCUCAGAAGAAAUUACCAGUUACCUUCGAGGAUAAGCGAAAAGCCAACUACGAGGGAGGGAACAUGGAACUAGAGAGCGACGCCAAGCCUUGUUGGAGCAACAGCAGAGGGAGGCAGAACGUAAAGCCCAGAAAGAAAAAGAAGAGUGGGAACGAAAACAGAGAGAACUGCAAGAGCAAGAAUGGAAGAAACAACUUGAAUUAGAAAAACGCUUGGAGAAACAGAGGGAAUUGGAGAGACAGCAAGAGGAAGAAAGGAGAAAAGAGAAAGACGAGAGGCACCAAAACAGGAACUUGAACAUCAGCGUCGUUUGGAAUGGGAAAGAAUUCGUCGACAGGAACUUCUCAACCCAAAGAAUAGUGAACGAGAAGAAAUUGUCAGGUUAAAUUCUAAAAAGAAGAGUCUUCGUCUUGAGUUGGAAGCCCUGAAUGGCAAACAUCAGCAGAUCUCAGGCAGACUUCAAGAUGUUCGACUGAGAAAGCAAACUCAAAAGACUGAGCUGGAAGUUCUGGAUAAGCAGUGUGACCUGGAAAUUAUGGAAAUCAAGCAGCUUCAACAAGAACUUCAGGAGUAUCAAAAUAAGCUUAUCUACCUGGUACCUGAGAAGCAAUUAUUAAAUGAAAGAAUUAAAAACAUGCAGCUCAAUAACACACCUGAUUCAGAGAUCAGUUUACUUCAUAAAAAGUCAUCAGAAAAGGAAGAAUUAUGCCAAAGACUAAAAGAACAAUUAGAUGCUCUAGAAAAAGAAACUGCAUCAAAGCUAUCAGAGAUGGAUUCUUUUAAUAAUCAGCUAAAGGAACUGAGAGAAAGCUAUAAUACACAACAGUUAGCCCUUGAACAGCUUUAUAAGAUCAAACGUGACAAGUUGAAGGAAAUUGAAAGAAAAGGAUUAGAGCUAAUACAGAAAAAGAAACUAGAAGAUGAGGCUGCAAGGAAAGCCAAGCAAGGAAAGGAAAACUUAUGGAGAGAAAAUCUAAGAAAGGAGGAAGAAGAAAAACAAAAGCGACUGCAGGAAGAAAAAACACAAAAAAAAAAUCAAGAAGAGGAAUGGAAAGUUGAAGAGAAAAAAUGUGAGACAGCUAGUGUUUUGGUGAAUUAUAAAGCACUAUACGCCUUUGAAGCAAGGAACCAUGAUGGGAUGAGUUUUAAUGCUGGGGAUAUAAUUCAGGUGGAUGAAAAAAACCAUAGGAGAACCUGGUUGGCUUUAUGGUAGUUUUCAAGGAAGGUUUGGCUGGUUUCCACAACUACCCUGGUAUGUAGAAAAAAUUCCUUCGGGUGAAAAAGCUGUGUCUCCUAAGAAGGCCUUACUUCCUCCUACAGUAUCUGUAUCUGCUACCUCAACGUCUUUUGAACCACUUUCUUCAAAUCAACCAGCAUCAGCAAGUGAACAUCAAAAUGUACCUUUAUCAAACUUAAAUGUUAAUACAUCAUGGCAGAAAAAAUCAGCUUUUACUCUUACUGUGUCCCCUGGAUCUGUAUCACCUAUUCGUGGACAGGGACAGAAAACCUUGUAGAAAACCUAAAAGCACAGGCUCUUUGUUCCUGGACUGCAAAGAAAGAUAAUCGCUUGAAUUUCUCAAAACAUGAUAUUAUUACGGUCUUGGAGCAGCAAAAAAAUUGAUGGUUUGGGGAGGUGCGUGGAGGAAGGGUGGUUUCCAAAAUCGUACGUCAAGCUCAUUCCUGGGAGUGAAGUAAAGCGGGAAGAACCAGAAGCUUUGUAUGCAGCUGUAAAUACGAAGCCUACCUCUGCGGCCUAUCCAAUUGGAGAAGAAUAUAUUGCACUUUAACCAUAUUCAAGUGCGGAACCUGGAGAUUUGACUUUCACCGAAGGUGAAGAAAUAUUGGUAACCCAGAAAGAUGGAGAAUGGUGGACAGGAAGUACUGGAGAUAGCACUGGAAUUUUUCCAUCAAACUAUGUCAAACCAAAAGAUCAAGAGAGUUUGGGACUGCCAGCAAAUCUGGAGCAUCAAACAAAAAACCUGAGAUUGCUCAAGUAACUUCAGCAUACAUUGCUUCUGGUUCUGAACAACUUAGCCUUGCACCAGGGCAGUUAAUAUUAAUUCUAAAGAAAAGUACGAGUGGGUGGUGGCAAGGGGAGUUACAGGCCAGAGGGGAAAAGUGACAGAAGGGAUGGUUUCCUGCCAGCCAUGUUAAACUUUUGGGUCCAUGUAGUGAACGAACCACACCUGCAUUUCAUCCUGUCUGUCAGGAGAUUGCCAUGUAUGACUAUACGGCGAAUAAUGAGGAUGAGCUCAAUUUCUCCAAGGGGCAACUCAUUAAUGUUAUGAACAAAGAUGAUCCUGACUGGUGGCAAGGAGAAAUCAAUGGGGUGACUGGUCUGUUUCCUUCAAACUAUGCUAAGAUGACGACGGACUCAGAUCCAAGUCAACAGUGACCCA